CAAGCAGCAUGGACAAGACCCAGCCCAGGUGUCAGGAGGAAAGGAACAACCACUGCUGUCCCUCAGUCCCCAGUGAGUAACUUCUAUCUAGAGGAUGGCCUUGAAGACUGACUAGACUCUGGCCUUCUACAAGAAAAGUCCAAUGCACAAGAGAAAGUCAACUAAAGAUGAGGCAACUGAGGCUCAGAAGUUAAAUGACAUGUCCAAGGCCACAGAGCUGGAAACUUACAAACUUGUUUCUCAAGCCACCAGAGGAGCUCCAUGUCUUAUAGAGCAAUGGUUGAUCAAGUUUCUCU